AGAGUUGUGGCUCAGUGAAAGAGCAUAUCUGAUGGGGAGAAAGUUCUAGGUUCAGUUCCUGGCAUCUCUA
rnacentral:tRNA from 1 species